rnacentral:RNase_P_RNA from 1 species
UCCACUUCCCGGGCGAUCGCGGGGAUUUCGUUUCGGCGAAAACCUCGAGGAAAGUCCGGACACCGAAGGGUAGCGCGCCUCGCGAAAGCGGGGGCCGGGAUGGUGCAAGCCUUCCCGGACGGAAAGUGCAACAGAAAGUAUACCGCCUGGAGCUUCGGCGAAGGGUAAGGGUGAAAAGGUGGGGUAAGAGCCCACCGCUCCAAGGGUAACCAAGGAGGCACGGCAAACCCCGCGUGGUGCAAGACAGAACAGGGGAAGGGUUGCCCGCUCGUAGCAUCCCCGGGUAUUAGUCGCAUCCUGCCUCGGCGGGAUCCGCCCGCGGCAACGCGGAUGGAAGAGAAAUGAUCGCCACUCCGAGUAGGUCGCAAGAUCCGGCGAGGGGGACAGAAUCCGGCUUACAGGGGAGUGGACUGC